UUUUUUUUGAGUUUGAUGAUGGCUCUGAAUGAACGCUGUCCAAAUGCUUGACACAUGCUAAUCGUACGUUUAAUUUAGUUAACGAUAUCUACCCGCUUAGUUUACGGUAAUUAUAUUUAUAUAAAUAUCUAGAUUUAGUGGGCUAUAAUCUUUCAUUUAAUUAAAAGUGGUGUACAGGUGAGUAUAUGAUAUUUUGGCUGCCUUAAAGCAAGGUUUAUAAAUACCUUAUAUAGUAUACUGUUUUUAAAGGUUAACGUUUAUCUUAACCUUGCGUAGAUACCUUUUGUUUACGUUAAACUAGAAUAAAAAAAGGAAAGCGAUUUCCGCUUUAAGAGGACAAUAAAUAUUCCGGAUAGGUAGUAAUUAAGGCAAUGGCUUAGUUAGCUUAAUAUUCCGUAGUCGGGGCUGAGAGGUCGAUCGAUCACAUUGGGUCUGAAAAAACCCCAAUACGUAUAGUACAGCAGUGGGGAAUAUUGGUCAAUAGCCUAACGGCUGAACCAGCAAUUUGGGGGAAUGCAUAGCUUCGGCUAAUUAACUUGGCUGUUUAAUUUAUUAUAUGUAAGUAAAAUUACAUGUAUUGGGUUAUUCAUUUUAGCCCCCAGGGUUAACGAAGGUUAACUAGGGGCUAAUUAAUUUGUCUAUUCUACGUGAUUAGGGGAAUAAUAGUAAAGGUCUGCUUUAUUCGCACGGACAAGUAUAAGAUCGAUUUUAUCGAAUAAAGUUCUAGAUAUAAUAUUGAUUAUGACAAAUUAUGUCUAUAUGUCUUGACCAAAAUACGUGCCAGCAGUCGCGGCAAUACGUAGAAGACUAGUGUUAUUCAUCUUUAAUAGGUUUAAAGGGUACCUAGACGGUAUAAUUAGUCUUAGAUAAGAAACGGUUAUACUAGAGUUAUAUAUGAGGAGGGGAGUAUUUAUGGAGUAGAGUUGAAAUUCUGUUAUACCAUAACGACUGGUAACGGCGAAAGCAACCUUUUAUCUAAUAACUGACGUUGAGGGACGAAGGCUCGGGUAGCGAACAGGAUUAGAUACCCUAGUAGUCCAAGCAGAAAAUUAUGAAUGCCAUAGAUUAGAUAUAUUUAGUCUAUAAAUGAAAGUGUAAGCAUUUCACCUCAAGAGUAAUGCGGCAACGCAGGAACUGAAAUCAUUAGACCGUUUCUGAAACCAGUAGUGAAGUAUGUUGUUUAAUUCGUCGUUACGCGAAAAACCUUACCACAAUUUGUAUAUUAUUUUAAGCGAAUCUUAAAAAAACUUUUUUAAGGUUUACUAUGAUAUUACAAGCGUUGCACGGCUGUCUUCAGUUAAUGUCGUGAGAUAUUGGUUAAUUCCAUUAAAUUAACGGAAACCCUUGCUUUAUUUGUAUUUUAUGGAAUAAAGCAGCACACCAUCAUAACGGUUAUGUUAACAGGGACCAAGACAAGUCAUCAUGGCCUAAAUAUUGUGGGCUACGGACGUGCCACAUAUUCCUAUACAAAAUGAUGCGAAAAUGUGAAUUUGAGCUAAUCUAAUAAAGUAGGAUACAUUAAGGAUUGUAGUCUGAAAUUCGACUACAUGAAUAAGGAAUUACUAGUAAUCGUGAAUCACCACGUCACGGUGAAUUUAAUCUCAGAUAGGUACUAACUACUCGUCAGGCGCCGAAAGAAGUGUGUGCAAUAAGUUUGGUCUCUGUUUUAUUUCUUCGGAUCAUUUAGAUAAAUAGUUCUAAAGGUUAUUAUGGUAGAUCUUCGUAUGCGUGACUUUGAUUGGUGUUAAGUCGAAAUACGGUUCGUGUAGUGGAAAUUGCACGGGAUUAAUUAAUAUU
rfam:Glarea lozoyensis 74030 mitochondrion, complete genome.